GCCUAGGUAGCCCAGUUGGUUGGGCAUUCAAUUUCCGCUUAGGUUGUGAUCUCACGGUUCGUGGGUUUGAGCCCCACAUUGGGCU
rnacentral:tRNA from 1 species